rnacentral:rRNA from 1 species
UACGUAGGGUGCGAGCGUUAAUCGGAAUUACUGGGCGUAAAGCGUGCGUAGGCGGUUCGUUAAGUCAGCUGUGAAAGCCCCGGGCUCAACCUGGGAAUUGCGGUUGAAACUGGCGAACUAGAAUCUGGCAGAGGGGGGUGGAAUUCCACGUGUAGCAGUGAAAUGCGUAGAGAUGUGGAGGAAUACCGAUGGCGAAGGCAGCCCCCUGGGCCAAUACUGACGCUCAUGCACGAAAGCGUGGGGAGCAAACAAG